ensembl:lncRNA
GCUUUCCACAUGCAUUAUUUGUGCUGACCAUUCAAAGCUUCAGCCUACAGGAAGAUAUAAAUGCUUCAGCAAAUGAGAGGGUCGUAAGGAAGUAGAAUGUGGAGCCAUAUAUGGUGGUGGCUGAAUAUCCUCAUUCUCUGGAGGUCAGCUCCCACAGAUUAAAAUGAAUUCAAAAUCAACUCAAGUUUUAUGAAGAUGUAGAGAGAUGAUGAAUGGACAGCAACUGUUUGAACAACUUACUUCACCUUUCAAAGAAAUGCCUGUGUCACAUACACCCUGGCAGGAUGUAAGAUGGUUACAGGAUUUGAAUGGGAUGUUACUAAGAUGAUGGAUAAUAAUACCUUGUUGUUUUGUGCAAUGGCUUUGAUCCAUCAUCAGUAACCCCCCAUGCAAUGAACUGCACAUGUAAUUGCUGGUGGAAGAGCCUGGCUCCAAAGAGCAGUGCAGUGGUGUUGACCAGGAUAACGAGUAGUUCUGACAACCAUCUGUUUACUCCUUGGUUGUUUUGAAAUCAUGCC